rnacentral:rRNA from 1 species
CCUACGGGCGGCAGCAGUGAGGAAUCUUGGUCAAUGGGCGCGAGCCUGAACCAGCCAAGUAGCGUGAAGGAUGACUGCCCUACGGGUUUUAAACUUCUUUUAUAAAGGAAUAAAGUGAGGCACGUGUGACUUUUUGUCUGUAUUUUCUGAAUAAGACUCGGCUAACUCCGUGCCAGCAGCCGCGGUAAUACGGAGGAUUCAAGCGUUAUCCGGAUUUCUUGGGUUUAAAGGGUGCGUAGACUGGUCGUUAAGUCAGUUGUUAAAGUUUGAGGCUAAACCGUAAAAUUGCAAUUGAUACUGGCAGCCUUGAGAACAGUUGAGGUAGGCGGAAUUCGUGGUGUAGCGGUGAAAUGCUUAGAUAUCACGAAGAACUCCGAUUGCGAAGGCAGCUUACUAAACUGCCACUGACAUUGAUGCUCGAAAGUGUGGGUAUCAAACAGGAUUAGAUAUCCCAGUAGUA